GGUAAGUGAUUGAUCAGUGGACACAAUAGGCCUGAAAGCCUGAGAAGCCCUUUGGAUGACACCACUGGAGAUUAAUUGCGAUGAGUGAUGUUGGUGGCUCUGGUAUAUUUGGUGACUGUAUCAUUCAUAAGACACCACAGUAGAUGAUAAGAAUGGAGUUGAAACUGCCAAUGUAAGCUGAAAUAUACAGACAACAGUAUGAAGUUUCAAUGUGCUCAGAAAAAUGUUACCCAGACACUGAAGAAAUCAGGAGAGGCUGUUCCACACAUGCUGAAGGAGAAGGAAUGUACCACCCUCCAACACCCUAAAACAAAAAAUCAGUACAAAUUUGGAAAAAGGGUGUGUCCACAGGGCAUGGCCAUGCGACACUGUAAUAGAAAUCUGUAGGAUAAGGGAGAUGUGGAAAUUGGUAUGAGGCCCCUUUUGGCCGGUACAGACCAUAAAAACAACGGUACUGUACCGACCAAAAAGGUACAGUUAGAGGGUAAGGAAUGUUAGGGGAUAACAUGAAGAGUUUUUGUUCAGAUUAAGAAAUAAAAAAUCCCACAGA